rnacentral:rRNA from 1 species
AUUGAACGCUGGCGGCAGGCCUAACACAUGCAAGUCGAACGGUAACAGGAAGAAGCUUGCUUCUUUGCUGACGAGUGGCGGACGGGUGAGUAAUGUCUGGGAAACUGCCUGAUGGAGGGGGAUAACUACUGGAAACGGUAGCUAAUACCGCAUAACGUCGCAAGACCAAAGAGGGGGACCUUCGGGCCUCUUGCCAUCGGAUGUGCCCAGAUGGGAUUAGCUAGUAGGUGGGGUAACGGCUCACCUAGGCGACGAUCCCUAGCUGGUCUGAGAGGAUGACCAGCCACACUGGAACUGAGACACGGUCCAGACUCUUACGGGAGGCAGCAGUGGGGAAUAUUGCACAAUGGGCGCAAGCCUGAUGCAGCCAUGCCGCGUGUAUGAAGAAGGCCUUCGGGUUGUAAAGUACUUUCAGCGGGGAGGAAGGGAGUAAAGUUAAUACCUUUACUCAUUGACGUUACCCGCAGAAGAAGCACCGGCUAACUCCGUG